CUGGAAGCUGGGAAAUCCACGAUCAAGUCACCAGCAGAUUUAGUGUCUGCUCCGAAGGCCUCCUGGGGGCUUACAGCCACCAUCCCAGAGCUCAGGGCAGGGAUGGCGCUUUCUUUCCCCCUUUGCACACCCUGGUCUCCAGAAUGGUGUUUAUGGAAGUCCAUCCAGAGAAUGAGCUGGGCCCAGCUGAGCCGUCCUCUUAUGUACCAGAGCUCACAGCAGGUGUGACCUUUACCCUGUACUUCCCUCUCAGAGUGCAAGAUUUGGAGGCAUUGGAGCUAAGACUGGAAACCAGAAAGAGGUCCAAGUGAAUAAU